AGAUGCGCGCCAGUUUCAGGUGUCCUGCGCCGCCGUGCGCAGGGUGAAACGGGAAGCCGGUGCGUCAUGCAAAUGACCAGUCCGGCGCUGCCCCCGCAACGGUAAGCGAGCGAAGCCUUCGAAACACCACUGUGCCUCGGCAUGGGAAGGUGAAGGCCUUCACGACCCUCGCAAGCCCGGAGACCGGCCUGAAGCUUCUGUUUGGCA
rnacentral:ncRNA from 1 species